rnacentral:rRNA from 1 species
UCGGGAAUUUUGGGCAAUGGGCGAAAGCCUGACCCAGCAACGCCGCGUGAAGGAUGAAGUAUUUCGGUAUGUAAACUUCGAAAGAAUAGGAAGAAUAAAUGACGGUACUAUUUAUAAGGUCCGGCUAACUACGUGCCAGCAGCCGCGGUAAUACGUAGGGACCAAGCGUUGUUCAGAUUUACUGGGCGUAAAGGGCGCGUAGGCGGCAAUUCAAGUCAUCUGUGUAAUCUCCGGGCUUAACUCGGAACGGUCAGAUGAUACUGCUUUGCUAGAGUGCAGAAGGGGCAAUCGGAAUUCUUGGUGUAGCGGUGAAAUGCGUAGAUAUCAAGAGGAACACCUGAGGUGAAGACGGGUUGCUGGGCUGACACUGACGCUGAGGCGCGAAAGCCAGGGGAGCAAACGGGAUUAGAUACCCAUGUAGUCCCUGAGCGGGCUGGCAAGGCGCAU